rnacentral:rRNA from 1 species
UCUGGCCCUUACGGGUCCGAGUUGUAAUUUGUAGAGGAUGCUUUUGGCAAGGCGCCGCCCGAGUUCCCUGGAACGGGACGCCACAGAGGGUGAGAGCCCCGUCUGGCUGGCCGCCGAGCCUCUGUAAAGCUCCUUCGACGAGUCGAGUAGUUUGGGAAUGCUGCUCAAAAUGGGAGGUAUAUGUCUUCUAAAGCUAAAUAUUGGCCAGAGACCGAUAGCGCACAAGUAGAGUGAUCGAAAGAUGAAAAGCACCUUGAAAAGAGGGUUAAAUAGUACGUGAAAUUGUUGAAAGGGAAGCGCUUGUGACCAGACUUGGGCGCGGCGGAUCAUCCGGGGUUCUCCCCGGUGCACUUCGCCGCGUCCAGGCCAGCAUCAGUUCGUCGCGGGGGAAAAAGGCUUCGGGAACGUGGCUCCCUCGGGAGUGUUAUAGCCCGUUGCGUAAUACCCUGCGGUGGACUGAGGACCGCGCAUCUGCAAGGAUGCUGGCGUAAUGGUCACCAGCGACCCGUCUUGAAACACGGACCAAGGAGUCGUCUUCGUAUGCGAGUGUUCGGGUGUCAAACCCCUACGCGUAAUGAAAGUGAACGCAGGUGAGAGCUU